UUUAAAGCAUGGCAAACCUGAGGAAACUCGGGGACGCAAAGCCACGGGGCUAAAGAUAGGGGGCCUAUCCACGCCAGCCGGGUUACCGAA
rnacentral:ncRNA from 1 species